UGGGGAGUAAUUCUGAACUGGCAGAGAGAUGGGAUAGAUGAUUGAAUAGAUUCUUUCCACCUCCACAUUUUGUAAUCUAUGAACUCACCUUUGGGAAACUUUUCUUAUUUCAGACUGAGUUUCACUCCCCCAGGGUUGUCUGAGGAAGGUGAGAUAUUUAACCUAAGCAGCAUUAACACUACCACUGUGCUUUGGCUUUGAAAGCUAGCAAGAUGUCUCAGCCCAAAGAAGCCAUCACAGUGUGAUUAUUCUCUUGUUUGCUUUCUUCCUGGAGGCCUCUCCGCAAUGCUUUGUGCUGGUGCUUCUCACUGCAAGCCAGAGGUGCAGUCAGCUCGAUGUGCUGCAGAGCACAUCCAUCCUAAGGUGUCCUGCACCAAGUCCCCUGUGACUUCCUUCCUUUUGUUUCCCAGCUGGUUCCUCACAGGCUGAAAUCGCACAUGAGGGGCACCACUGAAAUAUGGUGUCUGGUGCAAUUUUUAACAAAAAGCUCAUCUUUCUUCCCUGCAGUGGAUGGUCCCCUUGCCAAGGACUGUUGAGGUGUGUGUAAGCCCUGAGAUGUGCUGCAGCUCCAUGCUUCUUCCAACACCAGGUACUCAUUACCAUGAGAAAUGUGAAGCUGUAGAAGAAGCAGAAGAA